UAAAAAGGAACAAAGUCUAAGAACGCCACAUCGUGUGGCAAUGUCUUCAUCCAACAUCCUGUUGG
rnacentral:sRNA from 1 species